rnacentral:rRNA from 1 species
AUGGAUCAUCAAAUCCCAGAGGGUUUCAAACCCGUAAAUAUAGAAUCAUACAACAGCACAACAGAUCCUGUGGUAUGGAUCGAGGAUUUUCUCCUGCAUAUCCACAUGGCACGCGGUGAUGAUCUACAUGCCAUUAAAUAUCUCCCACUCAAACUCAAAGGACCAGCUCGGCAUUGGCUCAAUAGCUUGCCAGCAGAGUCCAUUGGCUGUUGGGAGGAUCUGGAAGCCGCAUUCCUCGACAAGUUUCAGGGCACUUAUGUGCGACCACCAGAUGCCGAUGACUUGAGCCACAUAAUUCAGCAACCAGAGGAAUCGGCCAGGCAAUUCUGGACACGGUUCCUAACAAAGAAAAAUCAAAUUGUCGACUGUCGAGAUGCAGAGGCUCUAGCAGCUUUCAAGCACAACAUCCGCGAUGAGUGGCUAGCCCGGCACCUUGGUCAGGAAAAGCCGAAAUCUAUGGCAGCCCUCACGACACUCAUGACCCGCUUUUGUGUGGGAGAAGACAGCUGGCUGGCUCGCAGUAAUAACAUAUCAAAAAACCAUGGUACUUUGGUUACCAAGGACGGCAAUAGCAGGUCACGUCGCGACAAACAUAAGCGCCACAUUAACAGCGACAAUACCGAGGAUACGACAGUCAAUGCCGGAUUCAAAGGCUCUAAACCCGGUCAGCAGAAAAAGCCAUUCAAAAGAAGCACUCUGGGCCCGUCCAGUUUGGACUGUAUACUCAAUCGCUCGUGUCAAAUACACGGCACCCCCAACAAGCCAGCCAACCACACCAACAGGGAUUGUUGGGUGUUCAAGUAG